rnacentral:tRNA from 2 species
AGUUAAUAAGCUUAAAGCAUUUGUUUUGAAAACAAAAGAUAGAGUUUCAUAAUCUCUAUUAACUU